GAAAGUAUGUGUCACAGAAUUGCCUUGUGUGGCACUGAAACAGUGCAGAGGAAAUGCCUUCCUCCUUGAUGAAAGAAGCUUGGAAUUUCAAGGAAUUGAUCGGUAUUUGAAGGAAAGAAACAAAAAACAAUUAUCUGUGCAUACCUGCACUCUUCCUAGGUGAAGAUAGUUUUACAGCUGUCAUCUUGAGCUCAUCAAUACUCAUCUCUAGGAUAAACUUAAUACCAAACAGUAGAUCUAGGAGGAUUGGUCUAUUGUGCUAUGAGAAACGGACUGGGCUCGAUCUUUAAAAACUGCUUUCCUUUUUGAGGAUACUACACACUGGAAUCAGCUCCUUGCAAAACAGAUAUUGUGGCCAAAUUUCCUCUCCUUGUUUAUUGAGAUAAUUAAACCAUUAUUCUGAAAUACUAAGGAACUCAUCCAAGGUUCCAGAUGCUACAAUGAUGCCAACCUGGACAUCCCUGGACAGAUGACCCUACCAAUGUGUCCUGGAGUUCUGAUUCCCCAGAUCCCCACCCCACUAGGGGAAGAGAGAGACAGGCUGGGAGUAUGGAUCUACCUGCCAAUACCCAUGUUCUUCGGUGGAGCAAUUCCAGAAGCCAGACCUUCCACCUUCUGCACCCCAUGAUGACCCUGGGUCCAUACUUCCAGAAGGAUAAAGAAUAAGAAAGCUAUCAGGGGAGGGAGUUCUGGUGGUGGGAAUUGUGUGGAAUUAUACCUAUGAUCUUGUCAGUGUUUCUAGUUUAUAAAUAAAAAUUUUAAAAA